rnacentral:snoRNA from 10 species
UAGUCAGGCAGGAUAAUCCUUACCUGUUCCUCCUUUUGGAGGGCAGUAGAAUGUGGUAGUUGGAGUUGCAUGAUACUUGAUUCAUAUCUCUGUGUAAUGAUGUCGUGCAUACCUGAUGCUCCUUUUGAAUCUUUCUGAA